AGAGUUUGAUCCUGGCUCAGGAUGAACGCUAGCGGCAGGCCUAAUACAUGCAAGUCGGACGGGAUUGAUUAGCUUGCUAAUCAUGAGAGUGGCGCACGGGUGCGUAACACGUAUGUAACCUACCUUUGUCAGGGGGAUAGCCUCUCGAAAGAGAGAUUAAGCCCGCAUAAUAUUAUGGAAUGGCAUCAUUUUAUAAUCAA
rnacentral:rRNA from 1 species